CCCAAAACAGCUGAACAGCUCAUACAGUCAAUAUAUCCACAAUUCCCCCUUUUGAUCUCUCCCCUAUUUGCCCAGCUCCAGUUCUCCCGGGUCGUGUUGUUCCAGUAGAGGCAUCAGCAUCCCCGGUGGCGGUCCUGGAGCCUUCUCAAUGGCUAUAGAGAUCACUCUCAUAGCGAGCCCUCUUAUGCAUUGGAUACAACAACACCCACAAGCAUCAACUCAAGACACCAAGACAAGUCGAUACCAACUGUCAUUCAGCAUUGAACAAACAAAUUAGUGACUCUAAAGUAAACAAGGUGUCUGUCAAACUACACAAGUUUGCAGAUGAAGUCACUCUGGUUGGGUGACUGAAUGGCCAGGGAGACCAUGUCACAGGUAAUACACACAUACACCCGGUACACACUCACACACAUAUUACACACACUUUCAUACACAUUUGACACACACUCACACACAAAUGACA
ensembl:lncRNA